rnacentral:rRNA from 1 species
GAUGAACGCUAGCGGCAGGCUUAAUACAUGCAAGUCGUGUGGCAGCAUGAUGUAGCAAUACAUUGAUGGCGACCGGCAAACGGGUGCGGAACACGUACACAACCUUCCUUUUAGUGGGGAAUAGCCCAGAGAAAUUUGGAUUAAUACCCCAUAAUAUAUAGAGAUGGCAUCAUCUUAAUAUUAAAGCUUCGGCGCUAGAAGAUGGGUGUGCGGCUGAUUAGGUAGUUGGCGGGGUAACGGCCCACCAAGCCUACGAUCAGUAGCUGAUGUGGGAGCAUGAUCAGCCACACGGGAACUGGGACACGGGCCCGACUCCUACGGGAGGCAGCAGUAAGGAAGAUUGGACAAUGGACGAAAGUCUGAUCCAGCCAUGCCGCGUGAAGGAUUAAGGUCCUCUGGAUUGUAAACUUCUUUUAUUUGUGACGAAAAAAGAUCAUUCUUGAUCACUUGACGGUACCAGAUGAAUAAGCACCGGCUAACUCCGUGCCAGCCGCCGCCGUAAUAC